rnacentral:rRNA from 1 species
UGCGGGGGGAGCAAGCGUUGUUCGGAUUUACUGGGCGUAAAGGGCGCGUAGGCGGCGCAACAAGUCACUUGUGAAAUCUCCGGGCUUAACCCGGAGCGGUCAAGUGAUACUGUCGUGCUAGAGUGCGGAAGGGGCUACUGGAAUUCUCGGUGUAGCGGUGAAAUGCGUAGAUAUCGAGAGGGAACACCUGCGGCGAAGGCGGGUAGCUGGGCCGACACUGACGCUGAUGCGGCGAAAGCCAGGGGAGCGAACGGG